rnacentral:rRNA from 1 species
GAUGAACGCUGGCGGCGUGCCUAAUACAUGCAAGUCGAGCGAACGGACGAGAAGCUUGCUUCUCUGAUGUUAGCGGCGGACGGGUGAGUAACACGUGGAUAACCUACCUAUAAGACUGGGAUAACUUCGGGAAACCGGAGCUUAUACCGGAUAAUAUUUUGAACCGCAUGGUUCAAAAGUGAAAGACGGUCUUGCUGUCACUUAUAGAUGGAUCUGCGCUGCAUUAGCUAGUUGGUAAGGUAACGGCUUACCAAGGCAACGAUGCAUAGCCGACCUGAGAGGGUGAUCGGCCACACUGGAACUGAGACACGGUCCAGACUCCUACGGGAGGCAGCAGUAGGGAAUCUUCCGCAAUGGGCGAAAGCCUGACGGAGCAACGCCGCGUGAGUGAUGAAGGUCUUCGGAUCGUAAAACUCUGUUAUUAGGGAAGAACAUAUGUGUAAGUAACUGUGCACAUCUUGACGGUACCUAAUCAGAAAGCCACGGCUAACUACGUG